rnacentral:rRNA from 1 species
UACGUAGGGUGCGAGCGUUAAUCGGAAUUACUGGGCGUAAAGCGUGCGCAGGCGGUUUUGGAAGCCGGAUGUGAAAUCCCCGGGCUUAACCUGGGAAUGGCAUUCGGGACUGCAAGGCUGGAGUGCGGCAGAGGAGACUGGAAUUCCUGGUGUAGCAGUGAAAUGCGUAGAUAUCAGGAGGAACACCGAUGGCGAAGGCAGGUCUCUGGGCUGACACUGACGCUCAUGCACGAAAGCGUGGGGAGCAAACAGG